GCACUAGAUUAUUGUUAAAGACAUCGGUUCUCGUCUGACCACCGCAGUUAAGCAACGUUGAGCUCGGUCAGUGCUUGCAUGGGUGACCGGCUGGGAAUAUCAGAUGUCACCGGCC
rnacentral:rRNA from 1 species